rnacentral:rRNA from 1 species
UACGAAGGGUGCAAACGUUGCUCGGAAUCAUUGGGCGUAAAGCGCACGUAGGCGGCCUUGUAAGUCGGAUGUGAAAUCCCUCGGCUCAACCGAGGAAGUGCAUCCGAAACUGCGAGGCUCGAGUAUGGAAGAGGGUCGCAGAAUUCCCGGUGUAGAGGUGAAAUUCGUAGAUAUCGGGAGGAAUACCAGUGGCGAAGGCGGCGACCUGGGCCAAUACUGACGCUGAGGUGCGAAAGCGUGGGAGCAAACAGG